rnacentral:lncRNA from 10 species
CUGGCACACUCAAGGGCACUGAAUCUAGCAAUGAGUCUGCACUUCUGUUAUGAGAGUGGGUUUUUCGGCCAGGCGUGGUGGCUCACGCCUGUAAUCCCAGCACUUUGGGAGGCCGAGGCAGGUGGAUCACCACGUCAGGAGUUCAAGACCAGCCUGACCAACAUGGUGAAACCCCGUCUCUACUAAAAACACAAAAAUUAGCUGGGCAUGGUGUAUCCACAUGUUCAUGGUAUACCUCGGCCGGUCCUAGACCUAGUAUCAGACUCUGCUGCUCCUCACUGGCAUAAAGGCAGACCCUGAACUGGGCAUGGGGACACAGAUGGGUAACACGCAAACCACAGGGCCCUGAUCCGGGGGAUGCUGGCCAAGCCACGGGCAGUGCAAUGCAGUAUGGCAAAGGAAGGUUUCCUGUCCACAGUGCCCCUCAAGGCAGGGCCCCCCAGGAGCCCACUGGCCAGGCCCAGAGGUGGGGUUAGCUCUGCAGUGUGAACUCAUAGGUUCUGGUCUCCCAGUGGGAGAGGUCCUUGUCCAUCAUGCUACGCUCAGUGAAGGUCACGUGGCCGUCCGCAUCUACCAGGAUGAU